GUUUCAACGUUUUCCAGUCGGCAGUGAAAGCGCACUUCCGGCCUUCACGGAAGUUGUUGCACAGUCGUUUCCGAGGCGGUGUGAGGUAGAGGAGCUUUCCAAAUGGGUCGUAGCCGCUCCCGAUCUCCGCGGAGGGAACGCAGGCGGUCCCGGUCCACUUCCCGGGAGAGAGAACGCAGGCGCCGGGAAAGGUCUCGGUCCAGGGAGAGAGAUCGGAGAAGGAGCCGCUCUCGAUCCCCGCACAGAAGACGCUCCAGAUCCCCAAGACGACAUAGAUCCACAUCUCCUUCUCCUUCUCGACUGAAAGAAAGAAGAGAUGAGGAAAAGAAAGAAACAAAGAGCAAAGAACGUCAGAUAACUGAGGAAGACUUAGAGGGAAAAACAGAAGAAGAAAUAGAAAUGAUGAAGAUAAUGGGAUUUGCCUCCUUUGACUCAACAAAAAAAGUGCUGCUGAAAGUUAUCGUAUACUUCAGGAAGCUUAUGGUGAACAUGCUCCAUCUCAAGAUACUUGUUCUUGGGAGGUCAAAAUCCUGCACCUCAAGGAAAAAAGUUGGAUGGUUCUGUAAAUGCCUAUGCCAUAAAUGUGUCUCAGAAGAGGAAGUACAGGCAGUACAUGAAUCGCAAAGGUGGAUUCAACAGACCUUUGGAUUUCAUUGCGUGAGAAUUGAAAUGUUGAAGAAUGAUUUUUUUUCCCCCUCAUCAUGAUCAGAAGAGUGGAUUUUGUAUUUUGUAUUUCAUAUGCAUCAAAACAGGACAGGAUCACAGCCCUUUCUUCUUGUAAAGAAGUAUCAUUUGGGGCAAUCAUCAACCCCAUUUUUUGUCUUAUUCCUGUGGAAGCUGUAUAUGUUUUCUUCUUGGAUGCUCGUUAGGACUUUUUAAAAUACAUAAAAAAGUAAUUUGGAUGUAAGUGUCUCAAAUAAAGCAAUUAUUUCUACCUCUCUGUA